AAAAAUUGCCUUGACUAUUUGAAUUGUACACCGACAAAGCACUGAAAAGCAGUAGGAUUAACAUCACUGGUUUUUGUGACUUUUACUGAGUAUAUCCUUUGUUGUAGAUUCUUUAUAAUCUUCUUAGCCUAAAUGCCUAUAAAGCCUAUAUCAAAGUUAGUUUUUGAAUUCUCGUUCAAAUUUUAACACGAGAUAUCGAUUAUCACAUCAAAAAUACUAUACUUCCAUAUCACAGUAUGCCACUUAAAUAGGUAGUAAGAUAGG